rnacentral:rRNA from 1 species
GACGAACGCUGGCGGCGUGCCUAAUACAUGCAAGUUGAGCGCUGAAGGUUGGUACUUGUACCAACUGGAUGAGCAGCGAACGGGUGAGUAACGCGUGGGGAAUCUGCCUUUGAGCGGGGGACAACAUUUGGAAACGAAUGCUAAUACCGCAUAAAAACUUUAAACACAAGUUUUAAGUUUGAAAGAUGCAAUUGCAUCACUCAAAGAUGAUCCCGCGUUGUAUUAGCUAGUUGGUGAGGUAAAGGCUCACCAAGGCGAUGAUACAUAGCCGACCUGAGAGGAUGAUCAGCCACACUGGGACUGAGACACGGCCCAGACUCCUACGGGAGGCAGCAGUAGGGAAUCUUGGGCAAUGGACGAAAGUCUGACCCAGCAACGCCGCGUGAGUGAAGAAGGUUUUCGGGUCGUAAAGCUCUGUUGGUAGGGAAGAAAAUUCGUGAGAGUGGCAAGCUCAGCAAGUGACGGUAACUACAAAGAAAGGAACGGCUAACUACGUG